GACGUAGGAUGCAAGCGUUGUCCGGAUUUAUUGGGCGUAAAGAGUUCGUAGGUGGUUUGUUAAGUCUGAUGUUAAAGACUGGGGCUCAACCUCGGAAAUGCAUUGGAUACUGGCAGACUCGAGUGUGGUAGAGGCAAUCGGAAUUCCAGGUGUAGCGGUGAAAUGCGUAGAUAUCUGGAAGAACACCGGUGGCGCAAGCGGAUUGCUGGGCCUUACCUGACGCUGAGGAGCGAAAGCGUGGGGAGCGAACAGG
rnacentral:rRNA from 1 species